CCUACGGGAGGCAGCAGUGGGGAAUAUUGCACAAUGGGGGAAACCCUGAUGCAGUGACGCUGCGUGAGUGAAGAAGUAUUUCGGUAUGUAAAGCUUUAUCAGCAGGGAAGAAAGCGACGGUACCUGAGUAAGAAGCCCCGGCUAAUUACGUGCCAGCAGCCGCGGUAAU
rnacentral:rRNA from 1 species